rnacentral:lncRNA from 1 species
GCCCGCCCCGCGCUGGCGAAGCGCGACCCGUCCCGCCCCGCCCCGCCCUCGGCACAGCGUCAGAGGCGGGGACGCGCGCUGGUCUAUUUUUGGGCAUCCGGAUGGCGACUGCGGGAAAUCGAGUUCUCAUGCUGGGGCGAAAGGUGUGUCUGCAGGAGCCAAAUCCAAAUGAGCAGUCCAGGUACUUCAGAGUUUUAACCUGAGCGAAACAGGAAUGUCUCGGGUCUUAACAGGACCGUCCGCCCGCUCGGAAGAGGCGAAUCUCCCACGGCAGACGUCUGGGUGUGCGAAUGCCAGUUGAGCGGGGCCUCGAGGACGCGUCACACACAGCGAGGAUUUGAGGAGGGAAGCGCCUUCCAGGAAAAGAAAAUUUGGACAUAGACUCAUACAGAGGAAAGAUGAUGUGAGGACAGACAUCUAAGCCACGGAGCAAGGCCCUUCCCUCACAGCUCUCAGAAGGAACCAAACCUGUUGACAUCUGUUUUUUUUUUUUUGAGAUGGAGUCUAGCUCUGUCGCCCAGGCUGGAGUGCAGUAGCACGAUCUCAGCUCACUGCAGCCUCCGCCUCCCAGGUUCAAGCAAUUCUCCUGCCUCAGCCUCCCGAGUAGCUGGGAUUACAGGCACCCGCCACCACGCCCGGCUAAUUUUUAUAUUUUUAGUAGAGACAGGGUUUCACCACGUUGGCCAGGCUGGUCUCGAACUCCUGACUUCAAGUGAUCUGCUCUCCUUGGCCUCCCAAAGUGCUGGGAUCACAGGCGUGAGCCACUGCACCCGGCCCCUGUUGACAUCUUGAUCUCAGACUUCACCCGGCCCCCGAUGACAUCUUGAUCUCAGACUUCUGGUCUCCAGAAUGGUGGGAAAAUAAAUUGCUGUUUAAUCUACCCAGUCUGUGGUUCUUUAUUAUAGCAGCCCUAGCAAACUAAUACUAAGGCUCUAACCUUUAUCUCCCUCCCCUCUCUUAUUAUUCCCUAAGAGGAAGUCCAAACUGCAAUAGGCAAAGAUUCUUAAUGGACCUUGCAUGCCUUGUUUAGCCUGCUCUCAAAAUGCAGUAAUCUCCUGUACUGCAACAAUGAAAACCUUACCCAUUUUUCAGGACAAAAUCCUUUUAAACUCUCCACCUCUGAUCAACAGAGCCUACACCAUCGAUCUCUCCUUUCUUU